rnacentral:lncRNA from 1 species
AACAAAAGCUCAUUGGCAUCCUUGGUAAUUUUUCAGAUAAAGAAGGAAGGGCGUCCUGAAACCAAAGAGUUAGAAACCUGUUGAUAAAAGGAAAUAAAAAAAGGACAGUGUGAUAUACACACAUGUGCAUCCAGAGAACAAGGAAAAAAGAACAGUGCGUCCAUUUCUUCAUGGAACACAACUUGAUGUAAUAAAGAUUAUAGCCGCAUCUGCUGCAGUUCCAGCUGUGAGAAGGGAGAGGAGCAAGAGACUGAGCAGACCUGACACAGAGACUCCAUGGGGUGGCAAUACAUCUUUCACAGGAAAAAG